UAACUUUUGUGGUUGAGGAUGGAGUGCU
rnacentral:piRNA from 1 species